rnacentral:lncRNA from 1 species
GGUCGUGCUCCCAGGCCCCUUCCUGAGCUUUCUGGAUUCGCGAAUUAAAGACAUACACAGGCCAGUUAAUUUUAAAUGCCUUGGCAUUAAAAAUCCAAAGGAUAAGCAGUUCCCUCUGCUAACAAAUACUCCACUCUGGAACUUACUCUGUUAACAUCUUUUAAAAUUUAUAUUUCAUCUCUGCUAUCCCAAACCUAAUUGGCGAUGUGGCCUGUGUGGCCACAUUUCUUGAUUCUCACAUGUCUGCUUGCCUUUAGGUCUGAUCUUCCUUUUUCCCCUUCAUGGAGAUUCUCCCUUCCUCUCUUCCAGUUCUUAGCCCUCACGGAAUCUCAAAGUUCUGCCUUAGUUUAUUUGCUCAGCCGUUGGUCAUUGGCUCUUUAUAUUGAUCGAUCAAAAAUCAAUAGGGGACAGGGACCUUCAGUGUUUGAACAUGCAGAGUCCCGAUGUGGGAGGCUGAAUUAAUUCACAGAAAUAAAACCAGUCCCCAACAAGGUAGGGUAAAUGGCACCUAUGAACCCUGCAUGUCCAUGUAUAUGAUGCCUGCUCCUGAGGAGACAUUGUCAACAGCUGAGAGUGUUUUAUUGAUGAAUGUCUGGCCACACAUUGGAAACCUAAAUUAAACCAAUCUUUUUAGCAACUUUAGGUCUUAUGCAUAUUCAUUUUUAAGUAAAGUAAUGUGAAUAUUUUCAUACAGAAAACUAAUAUGUAUGUAGAAACUGAGAUAAAGACCAAAAAAAAAAAA